rnacentral:rRNA from 1 species
UACGUAGGGUGCGAGCGUUAAUCGGAAUUACUGGGCGUAAAGCGUGCGUAGGUGGUUGUUUAAGUCUGUUGUGAAAGCCCUGGGCUCAACCUGGGAACUGCAGUGGAAACUGGACGACUAGAGUGUGGUAGAGGGUAGCGGAAUUCCUGGUGUAGCAGUGAAAUGCGUAGAGAUCAGGAGGAACAUCCAUGGCGAAGGCAGCUACCUGGACCAACACUGACACUGAGGCACGAAAGCGUGGGGAGCAAACAGG